rnacentral:rRNA from 1 species
GAUGAACGCUGGCGGCGUGCCUAAUACAUGCAAGUAGAACGCUGAAGCUUGGUGCUUGCACCGAGUGGAUGAGUUGCGAACGGGUGAGUAACGCGUAGGUAACCUGCCUCUUAGCGGGGGAUAACUAUUGGAAACGAUAGCUAAUACCGCAUAAAAGUCGACAUCGCAUGAUGUUGACUUGAAAGGUGCAAUUGCAUCACUAAGAGAUGGACCUGCGUUGUAUUAGCUAGUUGGUGAGGUAACGGCUCACCAAGGCGACGAUACAUAGCCGACCUGAGAGGGUGAUCGGCCACACUGGGACUGAGACACGGCCCAGACUCCUACGGGAGGCAGCAGUAGGGAAUCUUCGGCAAUGGGGGCAACCCUGACCGAGCAACGCCGCGUGAGUGAAGAAGGUUUUCGGAUCGUAAAGCUCUGUUGUAAGAGAAGAACGAGUGUGAGAGUGGAAAGUUCACACUGUGACGGUAACUUACCAGAAAGGGACGGCUAACUACGUG